rnacentral:rRNA from 1 species
UACGAAGGGGGCUAGCGUUGUUCGGAAUUACUGGGCGUAAAGCGCGUGUAGGCGGGUCUUUAAGUCAGGGGGGAAAUGCCAAGGCUCAACCUUGGAACUGCCUUUGAUACUGGAGACCUUGAGUCCGGGAGAGGUGAGUGGAAUCGCGAGUGUAGAGGUGAAAUUCGUAGAUAUUCGCAAGAACACCAGUGGCGAAGGCGGCUCACUGGCCCGGUACUGACGCUGAGGCACGAAAGCGUGGGGAGCAAACAGG